GUACACUCCUGCGGGAGGCAGCAGUGGGGAAUAUUGGACAAUGGGCGCAAGCCUGAUCCAGCCAUGCCGCGUGAGUGAUGAAGGCCCUAGGGUUGUAAAGCUCUUUCACCGGUGAAGAUAAUGACGGUAACCGGAGAAGAAGCCCCGGCUAACUUCGUGCCAGCAGCCGCGGUAAUACGAAGGGGGCUAGCGUUGUUCGGAUUUACUGGGCGUAAAGCGCACGUAGGCGGACUAUUAAGUCAGGGGUGAAAUCCCGGGGCUCAACCCCGGAACUGCCUUUGAUACUGGUAGUCUUGAGUUUGAGAGAGGUGAGUGGAAUUCCGAGUGUAGAGGUGAAAUUCGUAGAUAUUCGGAGGAACACCAGUGGCGAAGGCGGCUCACUGGCUCGAUACUGACGCUGAGGUGCGAAAGCGUGGGGAGCAAACAGGAUUAGAAACCCGUGUAGUCCCAUG
rnacentral:rRNA from 1 species